rnacentral:rRNA from 1 species
CGCCUUGCCAGCCCGCUCAGAAACUUACAGGAAUUGACGGGGGCCCGGCACAAGCGGUGGAGUAUGUGGUUUAAUUCGAUGCAACGCGAAGAACCUUACCUGGUCUUGACAUCCCGGAGACCCUUAGGAAACUAGGGGGUGCUUCCAUCUGGAAGAAUCUGGAGACAGGUGCUGCAUGGCUGUCGUCAGCUCGUGUCGUGAGAUGUUGGGUUAAGUCCCGCAACGAGCGCAACCCUUGCCUUUAGUUGCCAGCAGUUCGGCUGGGCACUCUAAAGGGACUGCCGGUGUUAAACCGGAGGAAGGUGGGGAUGACGUCAAGUCCUCAUGGCCUUUAUGACCAGGGCUACACACGUACUACAAUGGCCGAUACAAAGGGCAGCGACACUGCGAGGUGAAGCCAAUCCCGUAAAAUCGGUCUCAGUCCGGAUUGGAGUCUGCAACUCGACUCCAUGAAGUUGGAAUCGCUAGUAAUCGUGGAUCGGCAUGCCACGGUGAAUACGUUCCCGGGCCUU